CGAAGGGGCGGGAUGCUUACCAUGCAAGUCGAACGGCAGCACGGGUGCUUGCACUCUGGUGGCGAGUGGCGAACGGGUGAGUAAUACAUCGGAACAUGUCCUGUAGUGGGGGAUAGCCCGGCGAAAGCCGGAUUAAUACCGCAUACGAUCUUUGGAUGAAAGCGGGGGACCUUCGGGCCUCGCGCUAUAGGGUUGGCCGAUGGCUGAUUAGCUAGUUGGUGGGGUAAAGGCCUACCAAGGCGACGAUCAGUAGCUGGUCUGAGAGGACGACCAGCCACACUGGGACUGAGACACGGCCCAGACUCCUACGGGAGGCAGCAGUGGGGAAUUUUGGACAAUGGGCGAAAGCCUGAUCCAGCAAUGCCGCGUGUGUGAAGAAGGCCUUCGGGUUGUAAAGCACUUUUGUCCGGAAAGAAAUCCUUGGCCCUAAUACGGUCGGGGGAUGACGGUACCGGAAGAAUAAGCACCGGCUAACUACGUGCCAGCAGCGGCGGUAAU
rnacentral:rRNA from 1 species